AGAGUUUGAUCCUGGCUCAGAAUCAACGCUGGCGGCGCGCUUAACACAUGCAAGUCGAACGAGAAAGUGGAGCAAUCCAUGAGUAAAGUGGCGUACGGGUGAGUAACACGUGGGUAUCCGCCUCUGGGUGGGGAAUAACUCUGGGAAACCGGAGCUAAUACCGCAUAAGCCCGCAAGGGGAAAGGCGCAAGUCGCCGAGAGAGGAGCCCGCGGCCGAUUAGCUUGUUGGUGGGGUAAAGGCUCACCAAGGCAGAGAUCGGUAGCCGGCCUGAGGGGGCACACGGCCACACUGGCACUGAAACACGGGCCAGACUCCUACGGGAGGCAGCAGUGGGGAAUCUUGCACAAUGGGGGCAACCCUGAUGCAGCGACGCCGCGUGAGCGAUGAAGCCCUUCGGGGUGUAAAGCUCUUUCGGCAGGGACGAUGAUGACGGUACCUGAAGAAGAAGCUGCGGCUAACUACGUGCCAGCAGCCGCGGUAAUACGUAGGCAGCGAGCGUUGUUCGGAGUUACUGGGCGUAAAGAGUGCGUAGGCGGUGGCCCAAGUCUGGUGUGAAAUCUCCCGGCUCAACUGGGAGGGUGCGCCGGAAACUGGGCGACUUGAGUGCCGGAGAGGCAGGCGGAAUUCCUGGUGUAGCGGUGAAAUGCGUAGAUAUCAGGAGGAACACCCGCGGUGUAGACGGCCUGCUGGACGGUCACUGACGCUGAGGCACGAAAGCGUGGGUAGCAAACAGGAUUAGAUACCCUGGUAGUCC
rnacentral:rRNA from 1 species